GAUUAAGUUAUUAAGGGCGCACGGUGGAUGCCUUGGCACUAGAAGCCGAUGAAGGACGUUACUAACGACGAUAUGCUUUGGGGAGCUGUAAGUAAGCUUUGAUCCAGAGAUUUCCGAAUGGGGAAACCCAGCAUGAGUUAUGUCAUGUUAUCGAUAUGUGAAUACAUAGCAUAUCAGAAGGCACACCCGGAGAACUGAAACAUCUUAGUACCCGGAGGAAGAGAAAGAAAAUUCGAUUCCCUUAGUAGCGGCGAGCGAAACGGGAAGAGCCCAAACCAACAAGCUUGCUUGUUGGGGUUGUAGGACACUCUAUACGGAGUUACAAAGGACGACAUUAGACGAAUCAUCUGGAAAGAUGAAUCAAAGAAGGUAAUAAUCCUGUAGUCGAAAAUGUUGUCUCUCUUGAGUGGAUCCUGAGUACGACGGAGCACGUGAAAUUCCGUCGGAAUCUGGGAGGACCAUCUCCUAAGGCUAAAUACUCUCUAGUGACCGAUAGUGAACCAGUACCGUGAGGGAAAGGUGAAAAGCACCCCGGAAGGGGAGUGAAAUAGAACCUGAAACCGUGUGCUUACAAGUAGUCAGAGCCCGUUAAUGGGUGAUGGCGUGCCUUUUGUAGAAUGAACCGGCGAGUUACGAUUUGAUGCAAGGUUAAGCAGUAAAUGUGGAGCCGUAGCGAAAGCGAGUCUGAAUAGGGCGUUUAGUAUUUGGUCGUAGACCCGAAACCAGGUGAUCUACCCUUGGUCAGGUUGAAGUUCAGGUAACACUGAAUGGAGGACCGAACCGACUUACGUUGAAAAGUGAGCGGAUGAACUGAGGGUAGCGGAGAAAUUCCAAUCGAACCUGGAGAUAGCUGGUUCUCUCCGAAAUAGCUUUAGGGCUAGCCUCAAGUGAUGAUUAUUGGAGGUAGAGCACUGUUUGGACGAGGGGCCCCUCUCGGGUUACCGAAUUCAGACAAACUCCGAAUGCCAAUUAAUUUAACUUGGGAGUCAGAACAUGGGUGAUAAGGUCCGUGUUCGAAAGGGAAACAGCCCAGACCACCAGCUAAGGUCCCAAAAUAUAUGUUAAGUGGAAAAGGAUGUGGCGUUGCCCAGACAACUAGGAUGUUGGCUUAGAAGCAGCCAUCAUUUAAAGAGUGCGUAAUAGCUCACUAGUCGAGUGACACUGCGCCGAAAAUGUACCGGGGCUAAACAUAUUACCGAAGCUGUGGAUUGUCCUUUGGACAAUGGUAGGAGAGCGUUCUAAGGGCGUUGAAGCAUGAUCGUAAGGACAUGUGGAGCGCUUAGAAGUGAGAAUGCCGGUGUGAGUAGCGAAAGACGGGUGAGAAUCCCGUC
rnacentral:rRNA from 1 species